rnacentral:rRNA from 1 species
UGGGGAAUUUUGGACAAUGGGCGAAAGCCUGAUCCAGCAAUGCCGCGUGUGUGAAGAAGGCCUUCGGGUUGUAAAGCACUUUUGUCCGGAAAGAAAUCCUUGGCUCUAAUACAGUCGGGGGAUGACGGUACCGGAAGAAUAAGCACCGGCUAACUACGUGCCAGCAGCCGCGGUAAUACGUAGGGUGCAAGCGUUAAUCGGAAUUACUGGGCGUAAAGCGUGCGCAGGCGGUUUGCUAAGACCGAUGUGAAAUCCCCGGGCUCAACCUGGGAACUGCAUUGGUGACUGGCAGGCUAGAGUAUGGCAGAGGGGGGUAGAAUUCCACGUGUAGCAGUGAAAUGCGUAGAGAUGUGGAGGAAUACCGAUGGCGAAGGCAGCCCCCUGGGCCAAGUACUGACGCUCAUGCACGAAAAGCGUGGGGAGCAAAACNGGAUUAAUACCCUGGUAGUCCACGCCCUAGACGAUGUCAACUAGUUGUUGGGGAUUCAUUUCCUUAGUAACGUAGCUAACGCGUGAAGUUGACCGCNGGGGAGUACGGUCGCAAGAUUAAAACUCAAAU